rnacentral:lncRNA from 1 species
UUCUCAUGUUCUUGUGCUCUAUUAAGGGAUUUAGGUUCCUGAAUGGUAUUCUAGAUCCAAGUAAGCUCAACCUCUUCUCCUUCCUUAGCAUUAGUCAACAUUCUAUUACUUACCUCUAAUUGAACUUCGAUGUAGUUACGGCCGAUAUGGAGAUAAUGAGAUGCUUGGAACCGUAAGUAAUUGGACUAUAAUGAUUCUUUUGGGUGUAAUGAUUUCAAGUAUCUCACAUGACCCUCCCAUUUUGCUGCGAAUUCUUUUUGAUGGCUGACAUGGAUUAGGCUAGCUGAAUCCUCCAGCAAAUAUGUUGAAGACCAUUCAAAAGAAUUCAUGAGAGAAAGAAUUCAAACAUCUUUUGAAUGGUCUUCAACAUAUUUGCUGGAGGAUUCAUAACCGACAAACAGUGACUAAGAAUACUUUGUAAAACAUAUCUAAUCAGACUAGCUCUUCCUCUAUAGGACAAUAAUUUUUCCUUCCAACCUUGUAGCUUAUUGCUUAUCUUAUUCAUUAUAGGUUGAUAGUAAUCUUUCUUUUUCCUCAUAUGAAAAGUAGGGCUACCUAAAUACAUAAAAGGAAAAUCUUUCCAUAUGAUCCCUGCAACAAUUUCAGCCAUUACCACUAUCCCUUGAGAUACUUCUUUGUGCAAAUAUAUUGCACUCUUCUCUUUGUUGAUUUUUUUAUCCUGACACCUUUUUAUAUUUGUCCAAAGUAGAAGUCACUUUUUGCAAAGUAACUAAGUCAACUUUGCACAAUAUGAUCAUAUCAUUCGCAAAAGCAAAGUGAUUUACCUUUGGGCUUUCUCUUGGCAUCCCAAAUACCUUAAACUCUUUGUUAGUAACCAAAGAUUUGAAGGCUCUGGAUAUCACUUCUGCAGCCAGAAUAAAUAGGGUUGGUGAUAAAGGAUCAACUUAUUUCAACGCUCUGUAGGAUCUAAAAAACCCUUUAGAUUGACCAUUCAAUAAUAUGGAAUACCAAUUGUUGCUAACCAAUCUGUAUACCAUAUCAAUGAUCAGUUCACUAAACCCCACCUUUCUCAUUACUUUAGUUAGAAACAACCAAAUCACCCUAUCAUAAACCUUCAUCAUAUCCAAUUUAAUAAUUAUAUUAGGAAUGUUACCUCUCUUCUUGAUAUCUAAUAUAAUUUCUUGAACCACCAGAAUAUUCUCUGCAAUACUCCUUAUUUGAAUAAAGCCAACUUGUUCUACAGAAAUAAUGUCAGGCAGAACUUUAUUAAUCCUCUCAUGAAUGAUUCUAGAAAUGAUUUUACUUACAAAAUUACUUAAAGAAAUAGGCCUCAUAUCAGAAAAAUUAUUUACAGCUAACUUUUUGGAUAGAAGUAUCAGAUUUGUAUGGGUUACAAAAUUUGGUAGUUCAUACUCACAAAAGAAAGCUACCACUAUUUUGUACACAUCCUCCUUAAUAAUGCCCCAUGCAUCCUGAAAGUAAGCUCCUGUCAUACCAUCGGACCUGCCGUACUAAUUCUAUUCAGCCCCAUACUACAUCCCUAACUUCUUGCAUUUCUGGAAUCUUAUUAAGCUCUUCCUUGUGAAUAUCAUUCAAUAUUGUUGGCAAUUCAUCAACAUAUCAAAAUCUGUAUUAUCUUCCCCUUUAGAGAAUUGCUUCUGAAAAAAUUGAAUGGUUGUUUCUGCUAUCUGAUUUUGAUCUUCCAUCCAUUCACCUUCAUAAUUUUGUAUUCUUUGCACCUUGAGUCUAUUUUUUUUCAUUAACCACAGUGUUAAAGAACUUGGUAUUUCUCUCACCAUUCUCAAACCACUCUAACCCUACUUUCUGCCUCCAGAACUCCUCUUCUCUACUAGCUGAACAUUUAAUUUAGCUUGAGAUUUAAACAAGAGCUCUCUAUUUAAACCUGAAGGGACCUUUUCAAACUAUUUUUCUCUCACCAUAAUAACUUAUUCAGAGUUGCAAUCUCUUGAAAGAUAUUACCAAAGCACUCGUUGCUCCAAACUGUUAAAGCUGCCUUCACUCUUCUCAAUUUAUGAUGAAAUAUUAGAAAUGAAUUCCCCAUUACUUCAGUUUCCAAUUCUCUUUUAUAACCUCCAGACAUGACUUCUCUUUCAGCCACAUGUUGAGAAAUCUGAAUGGUUUUGGUAAUAUCCUCAUUCGUAGUACAACAACAACAACAAACCCAGUGUAUUCCCACUUAGUGGGGUCUGGGGGGGUAAGAUGUACGCAGUCCAUACCUCUACCUCUGAUGAAGUAGAAAGGCUGUUUUCGAAAGACCCCCGGCUCAAGGCACAAGAUAUCACACAAACACAUAGUAAAGCACAGAAGCAGAUGACAUAACAUAAAUACGACACCCAUAAGGAAUAUAAAACAGAGGAAAGCAGAGGAAAGCACACAGAUUUGUAAUAAGCAUGGAACACUGAAUACGGAAUCAUAACGGGAAUAAAAAAUAAAAAAAACCCCCACCAAGUAAUCCCAACACUAGCGACCCAAUCUGGCCCUACUCUUCUGCCGUAAUUCGCGUCUUCCAGACCUUCCUAUCUAGGGUCAUGUCCUCGGUAAGCUGUAACUGUUCCAUGUCCCGCCUAAUCACCUCACCCCAGUACUUCUUCGGUCUACCCCUACCCCGUCUAAAACCAUCCAACGCUAGCCUCUCACACCUACGGACCGGGGCAUCCAUGCCCCUCCUCUUCACGUGUCCGAACCAUCUCAAUCGUGCUUCCCGCAUCUUACACUCCACUGAAGUCACACCAACCUUCUCCCGGAUAGUCUCAUUCCGAACUCUAUCCCCUCGAGUCAGUCCACACAUCCAGCGCAACAUCCGCAUUUCUGCCACCUUCAUUUUUUGGAUGUGGGAGUUCUUAACUGGCCAACACUCCGCUCCAUACAGCAAGGCCGGACGGACUACCACCCUAUAGAAUUUGCCUUUAAGCUUGGGCGGCACCUUCUUAUCACACAGCACCCCCGAUGCAAGUUUCCACUUCAUCCAUCCCGCCCCGAUACGGUGCGAGACAUCCUCGUCAAUCUCACCGUUACUCUGGAUCACGGACCCGAGGUACUUGAACUUAUCCCUUUUCUUUACCUCCUGCGCUUCUAGCCUCACCACUACCUCAUUCUCUCGCCUUACGUCAUUAAACUUACAUUCCACAUACUCUGUCUUGGUUCUGCUCACCCUGAACCCUUUAGACUCCAGAGUUUGCCUCCACAGCUCUAAUUUGUCGUUCACACCCCCUCGCGUCUCAUCUAUCAGGACUACAUCGUCUGCAAAAAGCAUACACCACGGCACCUCCCCUUGGAUACGCCGCGUUAACACAUCCAUUACUAGCGCAAACAAAAAGGGACUAAGAGUAGAUCCCUGAUGCAAUCCUGUCAGGACAGUGAAAUGCUCUGAGUCUCCUCCCGCCGUCCUCACCUGGGUUUUCGCUCCCUCAUACAUAUCCUUAAUUACUCUGCUAUAUGCCUGCGGUACUCCACUCACCUCCAAGCAUCUCCAAAGCACCUCCCUGGGGACUUUGUCGUACGCCUUUUCUAGGUCGAUGAACACCAUGUGCAAAUCCUUCUUCCUUUCCCUAUAUUGCUCCACCAACCGCCGUACCAGGUGAAUUGCCUCCGUCGUCGAGCGGCCGGGCAUAAAUCCGAACUGAUUUUCCGAGAUAGACACUAUCCGUCUCAGCCUCACCUCGACCACUCUCUCCCAGAUCUUCAUAGAGUGACUCAGUAACUUAAUCCCCCUAUAGUUAUUGCAACACUGAAUGUCCCCCUUAUUCUUAUAGAGGGGGAUCAUGGUACUCCACCUCCACGCCUCGGGCAUCUUUGCUGUCCUGAAAAUUUCAUUGAACAAUGCAGUCAACCACCUUACACCAGCCUCUCCAACGAACUUCCAAAACUCCACCGGUAUCUCAUCCGGCCCCGUCGCCCUACCCCUUCGCAUCCUGCGGACUGCCUGUCUAACCUCGUCUACCUUAAAACGUCUACAAUAGCUAAAAUCCCGACACUCCCCUGAGUGCUCCAGUUCCCCUAACACAAUAGCUCUGUCCCCCUCGUCAUUCAAGAGCCUAUGAAAGUACGACUGCCAUCUCUUCUUUAUGUGGCCGUCCUCCACCAACACUCUACCGUCCUCCCCCUUAAUGCACCGCACCUGAUCGAGGUCACGACCCUUCCUCUCCCUAGCCUUAGCGAGUCGGAACAACUUUUUCUCCCCUCCUUUCCCCUGUAACCCUGCAUACAAGCUCUCAAAAGCAGCCGUCUUAGCUGCCGUGACCGCUGACUUCGCCUCCUUCCUUGCUAGCUUGUACUCUUUCCUGUUUACCCGCUUCUCCUCUUCGUCCUUACUUUCCACCAACUUAGCAUACGACUCUUUCUUGGUCUCCACUUUCUUCCCCACCUCUUCAUUCCACCACCAAUCCCCCCGAUGAUGUCCGGCCCGGCCCCUAGAAACACCCAACACCUCCCUUGCAUUUUCCCUGAUGCACGCUGCCGCCCUGUCCCACAUAUUAUCCACGUCCCCCCUACACUCCCACACCCCCAUUCCCGCCAACCUCUCCCCUAUCUCCCACGCAUUCACUGGCGUCAAACCGCCCCACUUAAUUCUCGGUCUACACUCCUUACUCCUCCUCUUUUUAUUCUUCUUCAUACCCAAAUCCAUAACCAAGAGCCUAUGUUGGGUCGAAAGGUUCUCACUCGGGAUGACUUUACAAUCUUUACACAGCGCCCUAUCCCCUUUCCUAAGCAACAAGAAGUCAAUCUGGGUCCUGGCUACCGCGCUCCGAAAAGUGAUCAGGUGGUCGUCCUUCUUCGGGAAGCCCGAGUUCACCACCACCAGCCCAAACGCCCUCGCAAACUCCAAUAGGGUCGCCCCCUCUUCAUUUCUCUCCCCAAAACCAAAACCUCCAUGCACAUCCCCAAAGCCUCCCGGUAGCGCCCCGAUGUGCCCGUUGAAAUCCCCUGCUACCACAAUCUUCUCCGAACUGGGCACGCCUCUCACCACGUCCUCCAAGGCCUCCCAGAACCGCAUCUUCUCCUCCCCCUCCGAUCCCACAUGCGGCGCAUAGGCACUACACACGUUCAGGGUAAACCCCCGAAUGACCAACUUGAUAGUCAUCAACCUAUCGUUGAUCCUCUUCACCUCCACUACCUGACCUCUAAGCUCUUCAUCUACCAAGAUGCCAACUCCAUUCCUACGCCUGUCGCUCCCAGAGUACCACAGCUUGUAACCGUCCACAUCCCUAGCCUUAGACGCUCCCAGAGUACAACAGCUUGUAACCAUCCACAUCCCUAGCCUUAGACCCUACCCACUUGGUCUCUUGGACACACGCAAGGUUGAUCCUCCUCUUCCUAAGAAUCUUCACAAGCUCUACGGACUUACCCUGAAGGGUCCCUAUAUUCCAAGACCCAUCCCUCAGCCUACCGUCGCUAUCCACACGCCCCCCACUACUUCUGAAUAAAUCUUCUACUUCUAAUACUGUAAAUGAAUCAUGCAAUUCAUCAUUAAAUAGAACUAUAUCCUGUCUUUUAAAAAUACAUUCCUCAUUCGAUUUUCCAUUCUACCAUGUAUAGUUACUUCCAUUGAAACCAUGACCUUCUAAAUUACAUAUAUUUAUGCAAUGUGUGAAGUCAUCAGUUUCUACUACUAUUACUAGUAAACCAACCAGUUUCUAUUCUUGGCUAAUGAUGACAUUAAAGUCCCCCCAUCAACCAUGGUUCUUGAAUUCUCUGAGACAUCUCUUCAAGUGACUCUCAUAACCUUAAUCUGUCGCCUUAUGAACAUUUUGCAUAAAUUAAAGUUACUAUGACUACUACUCCAGCUUUUUGAUUUUCCAGUCUUAAUGUCAGUUGCUGCUCUUCAUCUUCAAUAACUGUAAAGCUAAUACAAGACUGUAAAGCUAAUACAAGACUCCAUAAAAGCCCAUAUUUUACCAGAUAAAUUAGCUGCUGAGUGCUGCAUUCCUAACCUUCUUAUAUAGUCUUCAAUAUUAUGACUAUCCUGAAAUGGCUCCAUUAUCCCUAUAAAAGUGAAGUGAUGUCUUUUUGUAAUGUGAUCAGUCUAAUGAAGGCCUUCUGAGUAUUUACUGACCGAAUAUUCCAAAAUAGAGCAUUCAUCAAGACUUAUUUUUUAAAGAACUCCUAGUCUGCAUUGAACUUUCUUUAGCUCCUUGGUCUCUCUUUCUGUGAAUACCUUGGUCUGCUUUUAAUCUAUCAAUUUGCUGAGGGGACAUGUUGCCUUUAACUUCUACCUUGUCAAUAUUUUUCUCUAAAUCAUUGUAUCCAAAACAACUUUUUCUUCAUUACUAAAAUCAAUCUGGCUUUCAACUUGUAUUUCUAAAGGUAUAAUAUCUUCAAUUACCUUUGUAUUCUCAUCACUAGGUUGAGAGUUAACAAUGGAUAGCCAUAUGUUCUCAUCCUUUUUGUCAUUUGAACUAUGCUGUAAAAUUUCUCAUGUUCUAAGAUUAUGAUCCUCUUCCUUAUCCAUCAUGUGUGUUUGUUUUCUCCCAGUAUCACCAAUCUGAUCUAACACCUUGUCUUCACCUAUUUUGAUAAAAUUGUUGUGACCCAUUCCUUUGUACUUUCUUUACUGACUUCUUGUUGCUUAUCAUUGUCUUUGUUAACAUCAUUAUUAUUCUCAUUAUGUUGCUUCUCUUUUGCAAGAGUAUCAAAAGUAUUGGAAACUGCAAUGUCCUUAGAUUCUUCCUCUUCCACCUCUCCUAAUAUGUGGCCAAAUUUAUCUCUCUUAUACUUAUUGCGCCUGGUUGGCCAUUGUUACUUAUAAUUUCUCCUCAUUUUCUGAUUAUUCUGGAAAGAUUUUGCAUUAUGAUCUUUUUCUCCUUUUACUUGGAGCAUUGUCUCUUCUUCUUUCUCUUCAUUUUUCUUGUCCAUAAGCUCUGGAUGAACAUUCCAAAAAGAGCUUUCAUCGUGUCCUUGUAGACAACACUCUUUAAGUAUUUAGGCUUGUAGUCAUAAUGGAUUUAUACCCACUUGAAUUUUAUUUCUCCAGUGACAUCAUCCUCUUUAUUGAUUCUAACUUUUUUUGGUAGAUUAGCAACCAAAUAAACCUCAACCUUCACUCUUGUACAGCUUGGUCGUGUUUGGUUCUUGGUUGCCAUUUCAACUGUUAACGACUUCCCUACUACUGAAGCUAUUGAAAAAAGAGCUUUUUUAGCAAAAACAUUUAGUGGUAGAUCUGACAUUUAAAUCCAUGCUCAGUCGUAGUUUCCAUAUCUGGAUCAAAUCAAGGGUCCCAUUUUAAUGUUCUGAUCUGCCAAUACAUAUCUUUGGCUUUGAUAUAAUAUGCAGUUGUUAUAUGAGAUUGACAUAAUCUUCUAAAAUAUUCAAUCAAAUGAGUAUGUGUCUUAAAUCUAGUACUCCAAUAUUACAAUCUCCUUUGAUACCACAUUGAUUGGGAAUAUGUUUCCUAAACUCCAUUAUGUCUGGUUUCCCGUAAGAAAAUUUACCAAUAACAACAUAUUAUAAAUUUUCUUGUAUAAUCAAUUUCCUUAUUUCAUAUGACUUCCACGUUAUACUUGGAUCCCCAUGCAGAAUUACAACUAUUUUUGGAGUAAUUUUUUCUACCAUACUACUACUAUCCUUGGGUUUUAAUAAAUUAGCAUAAGUCACCUUCUUUGGAACAUCAACUUCCCCCUCCUUUCAAAUUCCUUUAGUUUCUAACUAUUUUUCGAUGGGUUAACCCCACCAAAGGUGGUGGCCAUAGUGGCCAAAUAGUAAGCUAACUUUUUUAGGUUUAGGGUUUAGAGAAGACUAGAGAGCUUUUUUAGGUUAGUUGUUUUCCAUGUGGGACUGAAAGUAAAUUUAAGUGCAUGACUUAUUGUUUGGAAGUCCUUUUGGAUAAGUCUUUCUUCUAAGACAAGAGUUAUAGAAUAUCUCAUAAAUCAAGACACAAUAUGGUAGUGUCAACACUUGUCCAUUGGGUGUAGCUUAUUUUUGGGUGGUUCUUGGGUUAAGUCUUGUUUUAGAGGCCAAAUUAAUAGACCAUCUCAUAAAUCAAGACACAGUGUAGUAGUGCCAACUUUUAUCCAUGGGUGUAACUUAUGGGCUAAGCAUUGCCUUAAGACAAGAGUUAUAGAAUAUCUCAAAAAUUAAGACACAAUGUAGUAGUGUCAAAUAUUGCCCAUAGAGUGUAACUUGUUGUUUGAAAGUCCUUGGACAAAGUCGUGCCUCUAGGGCAGAGUUAUAGAACACCUCAUAAAUCAAGACAUAAUGUGGUAGUGUCAACUCUUACUCAUGAGCAUAACUUAUUUUCUAAAAGUCCUUAAUUUAUAAAAUAUCUUAUAAAUCAAGACACAAUGUGUUAGUACCAACUCUUGUCCAUGGGGCGUAACUUAUUUUUUAAAAGUUCAUGAGCUAAGUUUUGCCUCUAAGGUAAGAGUUUUAGAGCAUCUCAUAAAUCAAAACAUAAUGUGGUAGUGUUUGCUCUUACCCAUGGGGUGUAACUUGUGGUUUGAAAGUCCUUGGGUUAAGUUUUGCCUCUAAUACAAGAGUUAUAAAACAUCUCAUAAUCAAAACACAAUGUAAUAGUGUUAACUUUUACCUAUGGGGCGAACUUGUUGCUUGAAAGCGCUUGGACUAAGUCUUUUCUCUAAGGGAAGAGUUAUAGAACAUCUCAUAAAUCAAUACACAAUGUGGUAGGGUCACCUCUUUCUCAUAGGGCAUAACUUGUUGUUUGAUGGUCCUUGGACUAAGUCUUGCUUCCAAGGCAAGAGUUAUAAGCAUUUCAUAAGUAAAAACACAAUGUGUUAGUGUUGACUCUGGUCCAAAGCACAUAACUUGUUGUUUGAAAAUCUUUGGAAUAAGUCGUGUCUCUAAGCAAGAGUUGUAGAACAUUUGAUAAAUCAAGACAUAACGUGGUAGUGUCUUGCCCAUAGAGUGUAACUUGUUGUUUAAAAGUCCUUGGGCUAUAUCUUGCCUCUAAGGUAAGAGUUAUAGAACAUCUCAUAAAUCAAAACACAAUGUGGUAGUGUCAACUCUUGUCCCUGGAAAGUAACUUGUUGUUUGAAAGUCCUAAGUCUUGCCUCUAAGACAAGAUUUAUAGAACAUAUCAUAAAUCAAGAUACAAUGUGGUAGUUUCAACUCUUAUCCAUUGGACAUAACUUAUGGUUUGAAAGGAAACGAAGAAAAAAGUAAUAAAAGUUGUGAAAAAUGAAAAAAAUAUUAAGAAAUAAAAAAUAAAAAUAAAAAUAAUAAAAAAGAGAAAAAGAAAGAUAGAAGAGAAAAGGAAAAUAAAUUGAGAAAAAAAAAUAAAAAAUAAAGGCCUAGAAAAAUUUAAAAAUAAAAAAAUAAAAAUCAAAGAAAAAUUUAAAAAAAGAGAAAAAAUUAAAAAGUAAAAGUUGAGAGGAGAAAAGGAAAAAAAAGUAAAGGUUGAGAAAAAUUAUAAAAUAAAAGAGAGAGAAAAUAAAAUAAAUCAAAGUAAAAUAAAAAAGAAAACAUAAUAGAAAAAACAGAAGUUAGAGGUGAAAAGGAAAAAAGUAAGGGUUGGGAAAACUUGACAAAAAAAUGAAAAAGGAAAAAUAAAAAUCAAAGUAAAAUAAAAAAAUGAAAGAAAGUUGAAAGGUAAAUAAGUAUGUAGUUGAUUAGAAAUAUUUGAGAUAUACAGGGACAAAUAGUUAUUUGUUCCACAUUUCUUAUGGGGGACAAAAUUUUUAUCUACUAUGAGGAUCAUUUAUGUAGUUUACACGAUCCGAGCAAUGCAUGUACUCAAUAUUAAAGUAGAAAAAUUAAAAUUAAUUAUAGGCGAAAUGGUUUGGUGGACCCUUGUACUUGUCUAAGUUUGUAAAAUGAACACCUAUAUUUAGCAUUUUGUUAUCUGAACCCUCAACUGAAUAAAACUCAACAUUUUAAAUCCUAUUUUGGUAUGUGAUAUACAACGCCUCCACGUCAAUUUCAACGUUAUUUUAAAAUGCUACAUUAAAUUUCACAUUUUUUUUGAAUGACAUAUAAAAGAUUAAAUAUUAAAAAAAUAAAUUACAUAUAAAAAAUAAAUAGCAUAAAAUCAAAUUUAAAACAAAACCAAAAAAAAAAGUUCCCCCCUCCAGUUUUAGUUUACUCGUUUCUCCCCCUUCCCCACUUUUUUCUUCUUCUUUGUCUUUCUGCUCCUAUGCUUCAACCCAACAACACUCUCCAUCUCUCUCAAUAUUCUAUCAAUCAAAUAAACUAAAUUCACCCGUUAUCAUAAUUUUUUGACAAGAUCAGGGACGGUUGGACAACUUCAUUAAAGGAAAAACUACAUGGAGUAGCAUACCUAAGUCUUAAAUUAUAAAAAAUAGCAACACUUUAAUAAAAUUACACUCGUAGCAAAAAUAAUAUUAUUUUAAUGUGGUUCCCUACUUUACUACCUUAAAAAAGUUACUGUGUAUAGCUUCCCCUUUUUCGCUUUUCUCGUACUCUUUUCUUUAUUCCUUUUUCACGCCAUUAUCAGAUUUCCUCUUUCAAAUUUCUUUCUUUCGUACAGUUUUUGCACUAUCUGAUAAGGAUGGUGUUCCUCAAUUUUAGGUAAUCAAUUAAUUCCAUUAUCGUAUGUUAUCAGUUCUUUUUUUUGUACUGUAAUCAGUUUCUCCAUUAGCAACUCCAAAUUUAAGAUUUUUAUGCUCUAAUGGCUGAACACACAAUAAAAUCACGAAUAAAUAGGGGUAUACCACCUAUUAAUUUGGUGUCUAAUAAUUCACCAUCUUUUAGUCUUGGAUUAACUCAAACUCAAGACGAUGUAGUUAAAGUUGUUUCAGAUCCUUUAUAGUCGAGGAAAAUUGUGAGUACGAAGGAGAUUAGGUCCAAGUUUUGUAACGAUCCGGUGAAGAUGGCUGAUGUUUUGAAAAAAAAUAAUUGAAGAAAACUUCUUCUCCAAAACAACAAAAAAUAAAAAAAAUAUGAGAAGAAAAGAAAAGCCAAAGAAAUUGCAGAGUCAGGCAAUGUUGAUGACGAUGUUGAGAACUCUUUUACUAGUGAAUCUGAAGAAAACAUAGAAGAAGUGGUAUUUUUCGUUGUAAAUGUAUUUUUAUUUACUAUUAUAUAUUUAGGGAUUUCAGUAAAACUUUUCUCAAAUUUGGGGGUAAUAUGUAUUUUUUCAUAUAUUUCAGUUAAUAUGUAUUUCAGCAAGCUGAUUUUGUGAAGAUUAUAGGUUAAAUAGAUAUUUUUGGUUAACAUGUAUUUAAUUGUAUUUUAGGUGAAGCUGAUAUAUUUAUUUGUAUUUUGUAUAUUACAUGAUAUUUGCUAGGUUGCAUGUAUGAAAAAUACAUUUUUAUAGGAACUACUCAUGAAGAGGUUUUUGACUAUAUGUAUUUUUCUUAUAAUUGAUAUGUAUUUUUCACUAUUUUGGAUUGUUGAAAUGUACAAAUACGUUCUAUGGUUUUGGCCAUAUUUGUAUUUAUUGAAAUACAAAUACACGUAUGUUCUUGGACGUAAUUGUAUUUAUUAAAAUACAAAUACAUUUUGUAGAUUGUGUUAUAGAAAUUUAAAGUGCAUACAAAUACAUAUGCACUUUCAUUGUAUUUUCGUUAUGGUUCAAUAUACAUUUUAAGGUAUAGGGUAGUAUUUUUAUUUUUUUACAUACAUAUCAAAUUUCAUAUGUAUUUUGCUUUAGUGUCAAUUUUGUAUUUUUGGUUUGUUCAAUAUACGUAUGCAUUGAUAUAUGUAUUUUUUGAUGUGUUGGUUGUGUUUAGUUAUUUUUCACAGUUUAAUAAGGUGCGAUUUUACUUUGUAUAGGUGCCGCGUGAUAAAAUUCUUAUUGUAAGAAAACUUUCAAGAUUUGCACCACAUGAUAAUGGCAUUGAGAAAAAUUUACGGGCCAUAUUAAAUAAAGAGCAGUACAAAUAUUUUUGUGACAAUAAUAUCUUUGGGUAUUUCAUGAAGAAGAAACACUAUGUGGUUCAAGCACAAUUGUGCAAAUGUGUUAUGCCCCUUGAGAUAUUGUGGGACUACAACAUGAGAAAACAAGAAGCAAAAGCUCAAAGUGAUGAUGAAGCACCAUUGAGAUCUGUUAGGGAAAGCAAGAUAACUAGUGUCACAGAAGUUUUUGAUGCCUGGUUGUUUAUAAUUUUAUUACAUUACGUAGUUGUCAAGAUUAAUCUGGAUGUUGGUAUUCAUUGUAGAAUUUUUUUUUUUAAUGUUUUGAAGUGAAUCAACCUUACUGAUAUUGAAGUGAAUG